rnacentral:lncRNA from 1 species
AAAACACACUGUAGGCAGACAUCAGAUUUAUCUUUGGCUUAGAUACAAUUAAAAAACAAUAACAAAAAAAAUGCACAAAAGGAAACCCACAGUGCAGAGGGACAGUUAAGCAUUUGUGUUUGAGACUCAAAACAGCCAACACACUGAGCAAGAGCCUGCCUGAGGCUAGUCUACCUGUUCCUGUUGAGUCUGGCACUACUUACUGUGCAAGGCUUGUGGAGACCAGAGAAAAGGGCACACCUGUAUUUGACAUUGCAGUUUAUGUGCUGAGUAUGAGUUUCUCCCUUGGGCCAAACUGCCCUUUCCAUCCUUCUGCCAGGUGUGAGUGAACGGAUCCAAGAGUGAAGAGUGCCACCAUCAGGGCAACCGCC